AAAAAACCAACUCAUAAAAUACAAAUAAUGUUCUUCUCUUUAAGUUUCACAUAAAGACAUUUUUCUUCAAUAUUAAAAUAAACAGCAAAAAAUCGGUUCUGCCAAACACAAAUUUUCUUUAUCGAGCGUUUGUAAAACGAAAUUAAGAAAUGAAUGUGCAUCAUUAUCUUAAAAGUAUAUAUUGUGCAUAAGCAUAUAACUAUAUAUGCACUGUUAAAGAUCGUUA